CUUGGAGAAGAAAAUCCCUCUGCCAACGACCUACUCGAGAGAGUUUAUUCCUGCAAACAGAGAUCAUAUUCCUACUCCAGAGACUGCAAGAGCAUGGUCUCAUCUUGAACACAUUGCAGAGGAGAUUGCUCCUCAACAGAGCUGUGAUGUCGGUCUCUUAAUUGGCUACAACUGCUCCCAGGCUCUCCUUCCAAGAGAAAUUGUGUCUGGUAAGGGAAAUCAGCCUUUUGAUCAGAGAACAGAUCUUGGCUGGAGCAUAGUCGGCUAUGGAAAUCCAUGUAUCGACUAUGGCGACCCUAUUGGAGUGAGUCAUCGGGUUAUCGUUAGACAGGUGAUGCCAAGCCUUCAAUCUUCUUYCAACCUCACAAAUCAAGUACACUAUGUUUGUAGAACACGUGUAAGAGAGGUAAUCACAGCACUGGACAUUAUCAAGACGCUUGAAUCUGACUUCAACGAGAGAUCUGCAGAAGAGGACCUCAUAUCUCAAGAGGAUAUCCGGUUUCUGACAAAAAUGAAAGCGGGCAUCAGACGCAAGGACAAUGGACAUUAUGAGAUGCCGCUGCCGUUUAAGGAAGAAAGACCCAACCUGCCGAACAAUAAAACAUGUGCAGUUCACCGUCUCAAGUGCCUGGAAAGGAGGCUAAGGAGAGACAAGCAGUACUACAAGGACUACACAGCAUUCAUGGAAGAGACCAUAGCUUGUGGAGAUGCUGAGAAGGUCUCCAAAGAGGAAGUUAACAAGCAUCCAGCAUGGUACAUCCCGCACCAUGGGGUUUAWCACSCACAAAAGCCUGGGAAGAUACGCGUCGUCUUUGACUGCUCAGCUAAGUUUCGAGAGACGUCCUUGAAUGACCAUCUCCUUACCGGUCCAGAGUUGACAAACACAUUGCUGGGUGUCCUUUGUCGUUUUUGUAAGGGUCCAGUUGCAAUCAUGUGUGACGUAGAGCRCAUGUUCCACCAGUUUCAUGGGAAAGCAGCAGAAGACCAAGAUUAUCUACGGUUCCUUUGGUGGGAGAACGGAGAUCUAGAGUCUCAACCCUCAGUGUAUCGUAUGAAGGUCCACUUGUUCGGUGCAGCUUCAUCUC
rnacentral:lncRNA from 1 species